rnacentral:rRNA from 1 species
AUACGGGGGAUUCAAGCGUUAUCCGGACUUAUUGGGUUUAAAGGGUGCGUAGGCUGAUAAAUCAGUCAGCGGUGAAAUUUACGGGCUUAACUUGUAGCUUGCCGUUGAAACUAUUUAUCUAGAGAUAUUUCGGCGUAUGCGGAAUGUAUCAAGUAGCGGUGAAAUGCAUAGAUAUGCUACAGAACACCAAUCGCGAAGGCAGCAUACGAGGCAUCAUCUGACGCUGAUGCACGAAAGCGUGGGGAUCAAACAGGAUUAGAUACCCUGGUAGUCCACGCUGUAAACUAUGAUAACUAUCUUUUAGCGAUACACAGUUAGAGGGUACGAGAAAUCAUUAAGUUAUCCACCUGGGGAUUACGUUCGCAAGAAUGAAACUCAAAGGAAUUGACGGGGACUCAAAGGAACUGA